rnacentral:lncRNA from 10 species
GUAGAGGGAAAUUUAUAGCACUAAUUGCCCACAAGAGAAAGCAGGAAGGAUCUAAAAUCAGCACCCUAACAUCACAAUUGAAAGAACUAGAGAAUCAAGAGCAAACAAAUUGAAAAGCUAGCAGAAUACAAGAAAUAACUAAGAUCGGGGCAGAACUGAAGGAGAUAGAGAAAAAAAAACCCCUCCUUAGACAAUCUCAGCUAUUUAUUAUAGAUUUUUCAAUCCAAAAAUGCAGAAAUCAACAGGAGCCUCAUAACUGGCUAAUUCUCAGGACAACAGGAGAGGUACGCUACAUCACUGCUCGUAUUUUUGCCAAAAUGAACCUGAAUGUAUUUAGGAGGCAAGAGACAGAUCCAGAAUUUGGGAACUUUACAAGAUAAUUGCCAGGACAUUCAAUAAACGCUUAUAUCUUGAAAAACUAUCAAACCAACCAACCAGCCAACUAACCAACCAACCAACCAACCAACCAACCAACCAACCAACCAACAGGUUCCUUUGCUGCCAGGUCUGAGUGGUCCCCUUCAGCUCUAGCUUCCCUCUUAUUCUGGUAUGCAGCCCAGGUGACCUGAAUGACUGAAUGCAAGGUGGCCAAUUCUCCCCAAAUGACUUCAAAAGCUCGAGUGCUCUAGUUUUGCAGCUCAUUUUAAACACCUCACUGACACCUCAAGGAAAAUUGCCUCUCGUCUUUUAUCUGGCCUCUCAACUUCUUCAGUCACAGGCAAGCAGGAAGUGGACAACUGAUCUUCUGCUGUCCAAAGUUGAAGCUACAUCAGAAGGAAGAAAGGUUGUGGUUGGCAAUAGCUCCAUUUUGAAGAUUUCAGAAAGGUCAAGAGUGGGGAGAAGAGACAAUACAAUGAACAUUUAGAGGUGUGUCUUCAGGUCAAGUUCAAUUCUGCUACUUUAAAAAGUUUUCAGGGCUGUGAAAAGAAGUUCUGGAGAAGCAAAAUCAGCAUUACUGGGAGGGAAAAAAACUUACUUCUCCCCUCCAAACGAUGGGUAAUUUCUUCUUGUCUAGAAAGAGCACUCUUCCUCGGGUUAUAUCGGUUGAAAUCUAUAACCUUAGUUAUAAUAUUUUAACAUACCAAGAAAAAAGCCAGUAUUUCCUAAACCAAUCCUAAAACUGGCAUCAAUUGCAAAGAAGGAGGACAUCUUUUCCUCCAACAUUUCUUUUCUUUCUUUUCUUUUCUUUUCUUUUCUUUUUUUUUUUUUGAGACAGAGUCUCGCUCUGUCACCCAGGCUGGAGUGCAGUGGCGCGAUCUUGGCUCACUGCAACCUCCGCCUCCCUGGUUCAAGCAAUUCUUCUGCCUCAGCCUCCCAAGUAGCUGGGAGUACAGGCGCACACCACCACACCUGGCUAAUUUUUGUAAUUUUAGUAGAGACAGGGUUUCACCAUAUUGGUCAGGCUGGUCUUAAACUCCUGACCUCAGGUGAUCCACCUGCCUCGGCCUCCCAAAGUGCUGGGAUUACAGGCGUGAGCCACUGUGCCUGGCCCCAA